GAGGUUAUCGGUCAGGAUGUAGCUGUCACGCCACUUCCGCUCCUCAUGUGCUCCUCUGUCACUGGGGCCAGCACUCCACAAGAAGCUGCACUUCUAGGAGAUGGAGACAGGAGAGAGAGCAGAGGAUGAGAACGGAUAAGAGCGUCUCAUCGCCCAGAGAUUACAUAGAUCCAGCGUUCUGUCUGGAUGCUGUCAGGGGACAGGGAAGAUAAACACGCAUGCGAUGCCUGGUCUUUCCUAAAGUAAACCGGCCGGGGGAUUACGCCGCUGGUGAUGCUGCGGCCGCUCCGUUGAAGCUCGGAAGGAUCCGGGAGACGAUGAGAACAAGACGGACGCCAGCGAGUGGAGGGAGACAGGGACAAAUGGGGAGAAAUGAAAAUAGGCAUCAACAGGAGCAAGUCGGACAAGGAGCGUGGGCAAAGGAGCCAAAGAGCGGAGCUAGAAGAAUAGAAAUAGCAAGUGCUGCUCAGGGAGCGAAGGGACUUGGAGCUACAACAACGCCAGAUAUUGAGCCGGCCCCUCGGGCGAACAGGCUGCUCCUGGUCUCCUCUCCACUGCUCGCUCUCUAAGCCACCGGCUGCUGGCCUGUCACGCUGACAAUUACCUCAUCAACACACCUGGCAGGUCCGUGGGAUCUGGGCCGAUCCCGUCCAUUUAGGGCUGUGCACACGCGACAGACGCGCGCUGCCAAGAAGCACCGCAGCUACGCGCCAGGCCCCAUCCGAUUCUCAUUAUCAGAGCAAUUCAGUGACAAACAUCAUCAAUUCCCCCCUUUAGUCUCUCUCUCGACGCGUUCCUUCUUAUUUUUUUCUAAAUUAAAAUCUAGCAUAACGGCAGAAAACACUGGUGCAGCAUAAAACCAGCGGCUGUUUGAAUCUCCAGAACAUGUGGCAGCCGUGUGUCCGCCCUGGGGGGAUGAAAGCUGCGCUGUCCUUUACAUACAUGGCAGCUCGUUGCCUGUAUGGAGGAUGCCCGGCCACGGUCACACUCCCUCUGUGACUUAGUCUGCUGUGGGCUCACGCUGACCAACUGUCACACUCCGUCCCCGUCCCUUUCUUGUUAGCCUCCUGCCGUUAUCCAGUCUCCAUUUUUCACAUUCUUUCUCAUUCACACAGUCCUGGUGGCUCAUUAAUGUGUGCCUGCCUAUUUUCCUCCAGAGAAAGAGAGACGUGGUGGUGGUGUGUGUGUGUGUGUGGGGGGGGGGGGGUUCACUGGCAGGAGCCCUGCCUCAUUAACACUGGUGGUGGCUUGUGGACAUUAGCAUGUGCACAUGCUACACAUACACAGACCCCCGUGGUUGUUGAAUACACUGUACGUCUUCUAGGAGACAAACCAACACCUGUGCAGCUGCCUUCCUGCGCCAGAAGCCCCUGUUUUCCCCACAGAGAUGAAAGGAAGCGGGCGCGGGAUAAGAAACCAGGGAUGGGGACUGAUUGAAAGAUGGAGCGGGAGAUAGCAGAGCUGGGGAAUUUGCCGAGAUGACUCUGAGCAGCAAUUUACACCUUUCUCAUCUGAUAACCAUCAAAUGAGAUGAGUGGCGGAGGAGACGGAGUGACGGGACACGGAGGAUCGACAAAAGCCACAGAGAGAGUGCUAAUUAGUGCUGGAGGAGCUUAUUCUCACAAUGCAUCCCCUAAGAGAGUCUGGGCGUUCUGCUUAAUAUUGUAAUCAGAUAAUCAGAUUAUCAGACACCACCACCAGUCGCAGUCCCUCCACAAAUUUUUGUUCCUCAGUAGCAAUAGAAGCAUUGUUGCUGAGGAACUGUUCAUUCACUGCUACAGCAGGAAACCAAAUGUAAAGACAGUCAUCAGUAGUCACAGGCCUUUGAUUAAUGACCAGAAUAGCUGGAGGAGACAUUUUACACUCACUGCACUAUAAAAUGCUUAAUUAUACCACAUAGUGUAUCAUUUCUUUGUUCUUUAUCUUGUUUCAAUUUAUGAAGUUUUAGAGAAGUCAAAACUAUUCAUCUCCAUUAAAAAGCAUCUGCCGUGUGAACACUCUCGCUACUGUACUGUUUUAAAUAAGGCCUCAACUCAGUCUGAUAUACUUCAUUCAAGCUUACACCACUCUAGGUAUAAUUUCUAUCUUGUAGGCCACCGGUUUCCUUUUCUGUUGCUGCAGCUUGUGGAGUGUGUGCAUGAAAGUGCAUUCAUUGUGCAGCACGCUGAGCUUUACAACAAAGGCCCAUCGAUCUGCACACGGUGCAACUAACUUAAAGCUGUAUGAAUAUGGAUGUUUCUGUCAAAUAUGUGUAUUCUACAAUAAUUUUAGAGCAUGUGUUGACUAUUAUUAUUUAAAGUAUUUUGGUCUGAGGUUGAGGCCUGUGUGUUAUAUUAGAACUGUGAGCUUGGGUUUUGGGCUACUCCUUCUAUAAUAUUUGCAUCUAGGGAAACAUUUGCAGGAGUGUGCGGUGCUGAGUUGGACACACAUGCCCACAUAGACACCAGCACCCAGGAAUAGUGACAACUAGGGACCAGGUGGUAGACAACAAACAGAAUGAAUGCAGAACUGUGCUCCCCAAGCUGACGAAGAGAAGAAGAGAUGGCCUCUGGAGAAGACACGAUGCAGGAAUGGAUUUAGAUCGAAAUGAAGGUUCUCUGCGUCCUCUGCAGCUUUUUCAUGCAGCACAGCAGCCUUUAAUGGACACAAUGAGAGACGAUACAGGCAGGUAUAAUAUCAGUGAAAGAGUCCAGUUUCACACACAAUAUGUUUGGACUUUUGGAUUUCCUUCCUCAGAUAAGAUGAUAGAUCUGUUCAUUACCUGGAACCAUGUCUGUUUUCACAUGCAUUCCUAGAGUGAAGGAAGGAUUUCGUUUGCAGAUAAAGAGACAUGAAAGGGAAAGACAGCAGAGACACUUCCAAGGGAAAUCCUUGAGAUAAGAUACGCUGUCUCACACAAGAACACGAGCCAAAUGCUGGAUACUGGAUGUGGAGCUUUGAAAGGACAGAUGAACAGGCUCACAGAGGUACAGGUUGUGUUCACCGUGAGGCUGAUGGUCUGCUUGUGGAUAACAGAAAUAAUAGUUGGUGCCUAUAAUACAAGAGGAGGAGUUGAAAGCGCAGUAUCAGGAAGUUCAUACUGGCCCGAGUUGUGGUUGCCAUGCCGACCGCAAAGUGUCAUUUCAACAUUUUUCAUCAUAUUUCUCUGUGUCCUGUAUUGAAAACACUUUUGCCAGUACAGUAAAUUACACCCAUUUAAAGAAUCACAGUACAGCAGAGAGUCAGAGGGUGAGUCCUCUGAGUCAGAGUUCAGACUAUGAAAUGACCGAUCAAAUUUGACCUGACUGAACCUAAAUGUUUGUCUGUGGUUCUAGUUCCUGUUGUACUUGGACUGAGUCAUUUCUGCUUGUUCCUGACAUCAACUUUUCUUUUGUGCUAUGAGUUCUACACUGAGUGUAAAGAGGUGAGGUGAAAAGAAGUUCAAAUUUCAAAUUUAACAAAUGUGUCAUUGUAAGAAAGGAACCUGUAAAAACACUUUUUAUUAUUAAAAGUUCAUUUGUG